AUCAUUUUGUAAAUUGGUAAAUCAAACAAUAAUGUGAUGUUAUAUAAUCAUGUGCCCUAAGCCCUUAGUAAUAUAAUGAUAAAUUAUAUUUUUUAAGUGGAUACAAUUACAAGAAUAAGUUUAUUGGAACGCAAGUUGUUGAAAAAGUAUUAAAUUUAAAUAAAAAUGAUUUGAGACUUGCUCAUAAAAUUACAAACAAUCAUAUAAAUAUACCAGGACCUAAAAAGCAGAGUGUUAGUAUAGCGGCACAAUUGUUUUCAAAUUCAUUAGCCAAAGCGAUUUCCUAUUGUGUUCAAAAUUUCAAUCUUGACUACAAUAAUUGGCAAGAGGUUAUAUUAUAAUGUUUAAAUUAUAUGUUUAAUUGUUUAUAUUUGUUGGAUGAAUAGUUGGAUGAAUCAUUAUUAUUGUUAUACAUAUAGGCUUCCUGGAUAAUACAGCUAUUUAAUGACUGGUUUGACCUGUUUAACACUCAGUUACCAGUAAAUAAAUUUAUAAAAAGUUAUGGAAUGGAUCUUGAAAAUCAAAACAAAUUAUUAAAAACAAUGGAUAAUUUUAUCUUAGAGAUGAGAGUUGUUGGACAUAAAACAUUGUUAGGUACCAUUUCAAAAAGGAAUUUUAUACAGUAACCAGUCAUUGAGAAAUCUUUUGAUUGAUUUGAAAUUAAAAUAUCCUGAUAUAAGUUAUAUAAUAACAAGACGUUUGAAUCAAGAUAUUCUUGAAAACCUUUACAGCUAUUUAAAAGCUAUGUCCGGUGCAAAUACACACUUAUCACCUCUUGAUUUUAGACAUAUUCUAAAAUGGUACUUGCUUGGUAAACAUGCCUCUAUUGCACUGUCACAGAACAGGAAUACUGAAGAUACAAUAGGUGAACGGUUAAUCGAUACUGAAUGUUUAUCAGCAUCAAUUGUCAAAGAGUCUGAAAUUCUUUAAACGCCUUUAGACAACGAUCACAUUUCCACCGAAGAACUAUCUUACUCUGCAGCAGAUAAUCAUUUUUUAGUAUUAGAGGAAGACAAAGAUUUUUCAGAACUUUUUAAAACAGAGGUGCCUUAAA